AGCAGCAGCAGCGGCCGUGCACGCCCGGGCUGCGAUCGCAGCAGCGCUAACGUGAGCGCCCGCCGCCGCCCUCGCCACCCCGCCUGCCCAGUCCCGCCGCCGCCCGGUUCUCGAUUUUCCCCGGUCUCCCCUCGCCCCUUCCCCUCCCCCUUCUCAGCACACUCGGGGGGCUGGGAACGAGCUGCCAUGUGAUGCGCGUCCCCUCAGCGAGCUUUCGUUGACCCUCGAAUCGCCCACCGUGCCUGCUGCCGGGAGGGGGCUGCGGGCUGGAAAGACGCGGGGAAGAAGAGGCGGAAAGGACUCAAAGUUCUCUGGCGAGGUCCUACAAGAAGUCCAAGUGCAACACGCACCCACACUCUACACAGUCUCCAAGCCCCAGAAGCUCCAACUAGGAUGGGAAUUUAUCUAGGGAGCACCUCCCCGUGCCCAGACUCCCCGUGGGUCUCUCAGUUCUCUCACCCUGUGGGUGCUCAGGAGCCGAACGCCACCGAGAGGGCAGAGGGCGGCGCUCACGGGCUACCCCAGGUGCCAGCGAGAGGGGACUGAACGAGCAUCUCGGCGACCUCGCUCUGGCCAGGGACU
rnacentral:lncRNA from 1 species